CCUACGGGUGGCUGCAGUGAGGAAUAUUGGUCAAUGGCCGGAAGGCUGAACCAGCCAAGCCGCGUGAAGGACGAAGGUGCCAAGCAUUGUAAACUUCUUUUGUCAAGGGACAAAAUCAGGCUCGAGAGCCUGACCGAGGGUACUUGAAGAAAAAGCAUCGGCUAACUCGGUCCCAGCAGCCGCGGUAAUACGGGGGAUGCGAUCGUUAUCCGGAUUGAUUGGGUUAAAAGGGUGCGUGGGCGGGCUGUUAAGUCAGCGGGAAAAGCCCGGGGCUCAACCCCGGCGAGCCGUUGAAACUGGCUAUCUUGAGUUGUCGAGAGGUAUGCGGAAUGCGCAGUGUAGCGGUGAAAUGCUUAGAUAUUGCGCAGAACUCCGAUUGCGAAGGCAGCAUACCGGCGGCGAUCUGACGCUGAGGCACGAAAGCGUGGGUAUCGAACAUGAUUAGAUACCCGAGUAGUC
rnacentral:rRNA from 1 species